AUUGAACGCUAGCGGCAGGCUUUACACAUGCAAGUCGAACGAGUGGCGGACGGGUGAGUAAUAUCUGGGAACCUGCCCAAUAGCGGGGGAUAACUACUCGAAACAGUAGCUAAUACCGCAUACUAUCGGAUCUGCCCAUAUCGGAUUAGCUAGUAGGUGGGGUAAAGGCUCACCUAGGCGACGAUCCCUAGCUGGUCUGAGAGGAUGACCAGCCACACUGGAACUGAGACACGGUCCAGACUCCUACGGGAGGCAGCAGUGGGGAAUAUUGGACAAUGGGCGCAAGCCUGAUGCAGCCAUGCCGCGUGUAUGAAGAAGGCCUUCGGGUUGUAAAGUACUUUCGGCAGGGAAGCGGUAUCUGCAGAAGAAGCACCGGCUAACUCCGUGCCAGCAGCCGCGGUAAUAC
rnacentral:rRNA from 1 species